rnacentral:lncRNA from 1 species
GUUAAUCAUAGUCUUGCACCUAACUGUUGCUUUGCUUGCAGUUUAUGAGAGAAGAGACUCACCUAUAUGAAAGGAUUGUGUCCCUUCAAUCCAAGGGCAUCAUCCUAAGCUGCAGAGAGACUGGAUCUGGCUUUUUGAGCAGUUAACUGGGUCUUACACUUCCGGCUCACAAGUACUCAUGUCCUUGUGUUCAUUCAGCCCUUCAUUCAACAAAUGUUUACUGAGCACCUACUAUGUGCCAGAUGUUGAAGUCCAAAGAGGUGAACAAUGGAAAGACAUCAGCUGUGAGUCAGUGGGGAGUGUCUGAGGAUGGAGGCGCUAUGGCUCCCUGGAGAUCUCUUGGUGUGUCCACAUGCCGGGUGGGUCCACGGACAGGAGCUCUUCUGGUGCUUCCCUCACUCCCCACCCGACCCAUGCAGUACCCACCCUCUGCAGCUGGGCCCUCCAGCUGGCUCAGCUCAGCCCUGUUUCAUGUUUAGUCGGUCUUUGAUCUUCACUCUUUAACUAAAGCCAGAGCCAGGUGAAACCUGAUUUUAUCCUUUUCUCAAAUGUGAACUAAGCUCAAAAGAAAGAGAAGGCUGAUAUGGACCCACAUCUAAACUCACAUCUGAAAUAAAAAC